GGUGCUGUGGCUUAGUUGGUUAAAGCGCCUGUCUAGUAAACAGGAGAUCCUGGGUUCGAAUCCCAGCAGCGCCU
rnacentral:tRNA from 1 species